GGGGAAGAGAAGAGCUUCCCAACACAUCUCAGAGGGCUGCACAAAGGAGCGAGGUCACUUCUGAAUGAGCUAAAGAUGGCCAAUCGUGGCUGGCGGGGUGGCCUCAGGCACCCCACUGGACUUCUCCGAGCCUGUUUCCUCAUUGAUAACAUUGAGCAGGAUGAAUACUGAGUGAUUUACUGCCUUAAAAUUGUACAACAAGUGCCAUGUUGUAUUUGGCUUUUGUAAAGAUUAAGACUAUGGUGAAUUACAAUUAUUAACCAAAAGGAGACACUGGUUUCCAAGGGAUUAUGCAAAGAAGGAGGUGAGAUUCCAGAAUAUCAGAUGUCUUGACACAGUACUCUGGAGCUGCAGGUAAAAUACAGUCCCAGAGCCUAUUCCCAAGUCCAUCCCCCGUCCUGAUUUCUGGUUGCUUUGCAUUCAACUUGGUCACUUGACUCUUAACAGCCGGGUUCCCACAGCUGAGCUGUCAGUGGCACUGACAUUAAACCUCAAGGGGCAGAAGGCAGUGGGCACUUGCCGAGGAGACAGUCCAAACACUAACAUCUUCCCUAGCAUGACCAAACUGGCUGGCACGUAUUGCUUUUCCUUACCAAUCACCGACAUUCUCUGGGCAUUUUCCUCUGAAGGUCACCAUCUCUUCCGUUAUACUGAUCACAGAACUCUUGUUAGCCUCACAGACAUCGCCCUCCAAAUUCCCUGGAUUUUAGUAAUGUUUUGGCUUUUUCUCUAUGCCCUAGAGCUCUGCUUUGUCCAUCCACAGCCCCUCCACUCUACACUAUGACAGGUAGUUUUGAAAAAUUACAUUACUCCGCGCUAUUAUGUUAUUCUCGUGUUUAGAAAUAGGGCUUCUUUAGCAGUAGUUCAACGCUUAUCAGGCACCUGCUAUGUCUCAGCAUUGAGCAAGGGCCUGGGCACCAGAGUUAAAUGAAACUCUGUCCAUGACUUCUAGGGCUCCAUGAGUUCACCUCUGCAUAGAAUUUAACAACCUCAAAAGACUUCCGCAUACAUUUUCUCGUACGCUUUGCACAAUUUGGAGAGAUAAGCCUAGCGGAUGAUAUGUUAUUUCCAUUUCAGGGGAAAAUGGAGACAGAAAGAUGAGCUGGGUUGCUCAAGGUCCCCUGGAUUAGAAGUAUCGAGUGCUGCCCCAGAGUCAAGUCUCCCAGCCCCGUCUCUCCUGCUCUUCCCCGGCCACCCCGCGCCUACUCAGAGCCACAAGUCAAAACGGAGGUGUCCCUGGGAACCCUUCUCGGGUGUUCCGUGUUUCUGAGAUGCCUCCAACGCGGAAAUAAGCGAUGUGUCAGUCCGGUUUCACAGAAGCUACCAAAUAACCGCAGGUUUUUACGGCUCCAGAAAGACUGCAGAUCAGACUCCCACUGAACAUGCGUCCUUCUGUUCACCAUGUCUGUUUCCACAUCUUGUGCUUCUUCCAAAGUGUGUAAAGUCACUGGGCGAGUAAUCUUGGGUUAUUAUAAAACCUAAGGGUGGUGGGCUCAUAGUGCAGUUAUAAAGUUUCCCUGAAGUUCUAAUUCCGUUAUUAAAAAUGUAAACCUUA